AUUGAACGCUAGCGGGAUGCCUUACACAUGCAAGUCGAACGGAGUGGCGGACGGGUGAGUAAUAUAUCGGAAAGUGCCCAGUAGCGGGGGAUAACUACUCGAAAGAGUGGCUAAUACCGCAUACCAUCGGAGCGGCCGAUAUCGGAUUAGCUAGUUGGUGGGGUAACGGCUCACCAAGGCAACGAUCCGUAGCUGGUUUGAGAGGAUGACCAGCCACACUGGGACUGAGACACGGCCCAGACUCCUACGGGAGGCAGCAGUGGGGAAUUUUGGACAAUGGGUGAAAGCCUGAUGCAGCCAUCCCGCGUGUAUGAUGAAGGCCUUCGGGUUGUAAAGUACUUUUGGCGGAGAAGCGGUAUCUGCAGAAUAAGCACCGGCUAACUACGUGCCAGCAGCCGCGGUAAUAC
rnacentral:rRNA from 1 species